AUAAAAACGAAGAAAAAGAGGAGUACAUUUAUACUUAUUUAGUAGAGAAAAGAAGUCGAAGGCUGGGAGCUUCUUAAACAAAGGUAAAUGGAAGGUAGCUUUAGAGUUGAUAAUCUGACAAUAAACUUAAGAUUAUCCGUAUGCUGCGUUAAAGCAAAAUAAGAUGUUAUCAAAAAACAAAAUAGAUAAUAAUUAAGGUGGUACCGUGAGAUAUAAACUCGCCCUUAUG
rnacentral:ncRNA from 1 species